UACGUAGGGUGCGAGCGUUAAUCGGAAUUACUGGGCGUAAAGAGUGCGUAGGCGGUUCGUUAAGUCAGCUGUGAAAGCCCCGGGCUCAACCUGGGAACUGCGGUUGAAGCUGGCGAACUAGAAUCUGGCAGAGGGGGGUGGAAUUCCACGUGUAGCAGUGAAAUGCGUAGAGAUGUGGAGGAACACCGAUGGCGAAGGCAGCCCCCUGGGCUGAGAUUGACGCUCAGGCACGAAAGCGUGGGGAGCAAACAGG
rnacentral:rRNA from 1 species